rnacentral:lncRNA from 1 species
GUGUGUCUAAGGUGUUUAGAAAAAGAAAAAAAAACACCUUAGAGUCUAAGGUGUUUUUUUCCCUUUUUCUAAACACCUGAGACACACCCAGUUAAUCCCCAAAUCCUGGACUGAAGGGGGACUGGGUUGAGAACCCCUGCCUUAAGGACACAUGACAUGUCUUUAAGGGGUUAAAGGUUUCAUCUAAGGCCUAUAACCACUUUAGCUUGCUAAAGGAGUUGUGGUGAAAUGACCCAGCAUAUGCAGUAUUUCAAGUUGAAACACUUGCAAAUACAAUACAUAAGAAUUUUUUUAACUGGGUGUAACUCCACCUCUAGCUUCUGUCAAUCACUCAACUGGAACCUGUUUUAAGGAUGACUAUAUAUAUUUCAUCCAAGUUUUACAUUCAGCAUCUACAUGCCACAGACAUGCAUAAUUUGGACUGAGCUCACUUUUUUCCCAGGAAAGAGGGCUGAGACGUGGACAGAAAUGUCUACUGAGAGAUCAACAUAGCCCAGUUCACUAAACAGAAAACCAGGCUAUGGGUAAACUGAUUGCAACUUUGCUAUGAUCCUCUAGAAAUCGGUUUAUUAACAGGAUUGUACAAAGAACAAGAAGUCACCUAUUGAGACUUAAGGAAAACAAAUUUCACAUAGAACCAAUAAAAGGAGUGUGAUUGUCACAUAGUAAUCGAAAAGGAAUGCUUUCCCUUUUUUGGGGUACAACUGGAAAUCAAUUGAAGUUGAUUUUUUGUUUUUCAUUAGGAUCAGAAACAGCAAUGAAUGAAUGGAGGUAAAAGGUUGAACUUGGUGACCAUUAUGAGUCUCUUUUUUUUUUUGCAAUCUUUAUUGCUAUGUUAAUACAUAGGUCACCAGAGAAUUAUGUUGAGUGUUUGUAUUUCUGUAGUUUUAAAAUAAUCUCUACAUGAUUGUUAUACCUUUUUCCAAGUGGAAAAAUACGUGUUGUGCCUUCAUCAUCAUUUAUAUGGUCUAUAUAUACCUUCAUAUAAAAUUGCUGGAAAAACAAAACUGCUUAGUAAGGCUGAUUGUACACACUACUCAUCUUAAUUUUUUAAUAGUGCUCAGUCAUGAACAUCGAUAAAUAUCAUAUUUUUUGAACAUUUUAUUUGAACACUUAAGUUACAAUAGAGGCUGCAGGAGCUGCUAUCACCUUCACCCAUCAAUCAAUAUUGACUCCCUCUAUUGUCCACCUUUAAAAUGUAAAUUCAUCUGACUAUUUUGAAUGUGUUUUCUUUCCUCUACAUUUCCCUUUAGAAAUAUAUGAGACAAUACUAUAUUGUUGUUGGGUCAGUGCAUAUUUCAAGAAUAAGCCCUAUUAUAAUACAUGUAAUAUACCAUAAUGCUUUAGUCUAUUAAUUAAUUCAACUAUUUCAGUGGUCAUAUUAAACAUACUUUCUUAUUAAACCUGCACCUAUCCAUUUUCUAUGUCUUGGUGUAGAGAGCUCGUGCAAUGUUUAUUUACAAAUAUUUCUAUUACAUUUUCAGUCUUCAUUAACAAACUUGCUGUGAAAGUAACUUUGUUUGGUGUUAAUAUGUAAAUGGUUGAUAUCAAAGUAAAGCAUUAAGCCAGAAGGUCAUAACUGGUUAAAUAGUCAUUAUGUUUGCAGGUGAUGGUAGAUCUAGA